GGCCCAAUGGUCUAGUCGUAGGAUACUCCCUUCGGGUUCGCACCCGUUUACCGUGUAAACGAACGUGGGAGUGGUCCCGGGUUCAAUUCCCGGUUGAGCCC